rnacentral:tRNA from 1 species
GGUGUCGUGGUCGAGUGGAUAUGUCACUGGGCUGUGGAUCAUAAGAUCCGGGGUUCAAGUUUCCCCGCGGCACUA